rnacentral:rRNA from 1 species
GUAGGUGGCAAGCGUUGUCCGGAAUUAUUGGGCGUAAAGCGCGCGCAGGCGGUCCUUUAAGUCUGAUGUGAAAGCCCACGGCUCAACCGUGGAGGGUCAUUGGAAACUGGGGGACUUGAGUACAGAAGAGGAAAGCGGAAUUCCACGUGUAGCGGUGAAAUGCGUAGAGAUGUGGAGGAACACCAGUGGCGAAGGCGGCUUUCUGGUCUGUAACUGACGCUGAGGCGCGAAAGCGUGGGGAGCAAACAGGGAUUAGAUACCCUGGUAGUCCACGCCGUAAACGAUGAGUGCUAAGUGUUAGGGGGUUUCCCGCCCCCUUAGUGCUGCAGCUAACGCAUUAAGCACUCCGCCUGGGGAGUACGGCCGCAAGGCUG